rnacentral:rRNA from 1 species
GACGAACGCUGGCGGCGUGCCUAAUACAUGCAAGUCGAGCGAGCGGAACCAACAGAUUUACUUCGGUAAUGACGUUGGGAAAGCGAGCGGCGGAUGGGUGAGUAACACGUGGGGAACCUGCCCCUAAGUCUGGGAUACCAUUUGGAAACUGGUGCUAAUACCGCAUAAUUCCAUUUACCGCAUGGCAAAUGGAUGAAAGGCGCUUUUGCGUCACUGAUGGAUGGACCCGCGGUGCAUUAGCUAGUUGGUGGGGUAACGGCCUACCAAGGCUGCGAUGCAUAGCCGACCUGAGAGGGUGAUCGGCCACACUGGGACUGAGACACGGCCCAG